CUCCAAAAAUGUUUUAGAACAAUCUUCCAGUCAUGAAUUUAGUGUUCCUAUAAUUAAUGAAGAUGUUUAUGUUCAAGAUUCCAGUAAGAGUUAUAUACAAGGAAAGAGUGCUCCUGUAAACAUCAAUGUUCAGCAAAGUUCAACCAAUAGUUCUUUAAAGUCAGAAAUGAGUUAUACUGAAAAAUCUGAAAUUGAUAUUGAAAUACCUCUUAAAACAUCAGAAAGACAACAAUUAUACAGUAAAAUAAAU